GGCAGUUCCUGCUGCCAGCAGCUGGUUUAGAGGCUCAACAACACCAAAAUCAUUGAUGGCUGCAGGUCACACCAGCUACGAGGUCUGAGCUACUCUGCACACAUCUGUUCUCAAGAGACAGAAGAAGGUUCAUCAUCAGUGUCUCCCAGAGCUUCAGAGCACAGGAGGACACCUACUCAGAGAAGACCUUUUGGUACUUCCCAUUGCUUUCCCAGGGAAGAUAAAAUCAGGUCACAUACAGCUUCUAAUAAAGUAAUUCUGUUCUGAGAAUGGCCAUUCAUUACUUGAAGGUUUUCUUCUAUGACCUCCUGGGGGAUUUCAGGGGAUCCUGGAGCAUUUUCAAGUAUCCUACAAACCUGGGGAAACCCCAGUGGCUGUGAGAUCUCCCCCAAAAUCAUGGAGCCUUUGCUGUAGGGCUCCACAGUCAAAGGAGACAUCAGUGGUCUUUCUGGGACUUUGAGGAGGCCAUAGCUGCAUGAGAGGAAAAAAACCCCUCUGUGUGCAGGAGUGGCUGUGUUACCCUGUGGGCAGGGUGAAGUAAGGCUCAUCUGAGGUAGGCACAGGAGUGGGUGGUACCAAGGUGUGGAGAGCAA
rnacentral:lncRNA from 1 species